rnacentral:lncRNA from 1 species
ACUACAAGAAAACAACAUUUUUUUGGCGGACAAAAGCCCUCUAGAAGAGGCAAAAACCGCCAGAAAAUGAUAAAUUCUGGCGGCCAGCUGGCGGCCUCAAAAUGCCAGGAAAUGUGGUGUUGGUAAGGUUAUUGGCGGCCCAAACCGUCGAAAACUAGCGUGGCGAAACUUACUGGCGGCCUAAGCCGCCACUAUGUAAAAGCAGAAUUUUCCACAUAUA